UCGAUUGAACGCGAAGAACCUUACCAGGGAUUGACAUGACGGUAGUAGUGAAGCGAAAGCGGAACGACCCUUCGGGGAGCCGUCACAGGUGAUGCAUGGCUGUUGUCAGCUCGUGCCGUGAGGUGUUUGGUUAAGUCCACUAACGAGCGCAACCCUUAGCCCCAGUUAUACGUGUCUGGUGCGACUGCCGGUAUUAAGCCAAAGGAAGGUGGGGAUGACGUCAAGUCAGCAUGUCCUUUAUGCCCUGGGCGACACACACGCUACAAUGGCCAGUACAGUAGGUUGCCAAGCCGCGAGGCGGAGCCAAUCCUAAAAAGCUGGUCUCAGUUCGGAUUGCAGGCUGCAACCCGCCUGCAUGAAGUCGGAGUUGCUAGUAACCGCAGGACAGCUAUACUGCGGUGAAUACGUUCCCGGGUCUUGUACACACC
rnacentral:rRNA from 1 species